GAUGAACGCUGGCGGCGUGCCUAAUACAUGCAAGUCGAGCGAACGGACGAGAAGCUUGCUUCUCUGAUGUUAGCGGCGGACGGGUGAGUAACACGUGGAUAACCUACCUAUAAGACUGGGAUAACUUCGGGAAACCGUAGCUAAUACCGGAUAAUAUUUUGAACCGCAUGGUUCAAAAGUGAAAGACGGUCUUGCUGUCACUUAUAGAUGGAUCCGCGCUGCAUUAGCUAGUUGGUAAGGUAACGGCUUACCAAGGCAACGAUGCAUAGCCGACCUGAGAGAGUGAUCGGCCACACUGGAACUGAGACACGGUCCAGACUCCUACGGGAGGCAACAGUAGGGAAACAUCCGCAAAGGGCGAAAGCCUGACGGAGCAACGCCGCGUGAGUGAUGAAGGUCUUCGGAUCGUAAAACUCUGUUAUUAGGGGAGAACAUAUGUGUAAGUAACUGUGCACAUCUUGACGGUACCUAAUCAGAAAGCCACGGCUAACUACGUG
rnacentral:rRNA from 1 species